CCUCCCUCUCUUUCCCUUCCCGCACAGGGGCCGCACCAUCCUCUGCACUGAGGGCCAUUUGCUGGAUUGAAUGGAUCAAGGAAGGAAUCACAGUGCUUCAUGAUGAUCUGAUGGGAGAUGUGGGCAAUUCCAGAGACUCAAUGAAGAAGUGAGUGGAAGCUGUCAAUAAUUUUAACAAGGCAGAAAGGAAAGAACCGUCCCCUCUCCAUCAGCCC
rnacentral:lncRNA from 1 species